rnacentral:rRNA from 1 species
UGGGGAAUAUUGCACAAUGGGCGGAAGCCUGAUGCAGCGACGCCGCGUGGGGGAUGAAGGCCUUCGGGUUGUAAACUCCUUUCGACAGGGACGAAGCUUUUGUGACGGUACCUGUAUAAGAAGCACCGGCUAACUACGUGCCAGCAGCCGCGGUAAUACGUAGGGUGCGAGCGUUGUCCGGAAUUACUGGGCGUAAAGAGCUCGUAGGUGGUUUGUCGCGUCGUCUGUGAAAUUCCGGGGCUUAACUCCGGGCGUGCAGGCGAUACGGGCUGACUUGAGUGCUGUAGGGGAGACUGGAAUUCCUGGUGUAGCGGUGAAAUGCGCAGAUAUCAGGAGGAACACCGAUGGCGAAGGCAGGUCUCUGGGCAGUAACUGACGCUGAGGAGCGAAAGCNUGGGUAGCGAACAGGAUUAGAUACCCUGGUAGUCCAUGCCGUAAACGGUGGGCGCUAGGUGUAGGGGGCUUCCACGUCUUCUGUGCCGUAGCUAACGCAUUAAGCGCCCCGCCUGGGAGUACGGCCGCAAGCU